UAAGUGAGCUUCCACUGGGGGUUUUCAGCAUCCAGUGCCUGUUUCUAUCUUUGGUGUCUCCAAUGAAUACAAGAGCACAGCUGCAACAUUCUCAGUACAGAAAGAAUUAAGCACAGCUUGGAGAAGAGAUUAAAAGUCCUAAGCAUGGGAUUUAUGAAAAAACAAAAGCAUCAAAAACCACAUACAAGAACCAAGUUGGAUAGAAGAAAGUUUGGCAAGUAAAGUACAUUUUCUGCAUUUUCUCUUUUAGAAGAUUAUGAUUACAUGUAAUCUCACACUCCUGAGCAGAUGCUAUCUGUUUUCCCUUCCAGAGCUUUAGGCUGCAACCAACCCGAGACAUAAAGGAGACAGGGGAAGCUGUGAAAGACUGCAAGGAUUUCUUAACAUGGUUUUUAAA